CUACGGGGGGCUGCAGUGGGGAAUAUUGGACAAUGGGGGAAACCCUGAUCCAGCAAUGCCGCGUGUGUGAAGAAGGCCUGCGGGUUGUAAAGCACUUUCGGUUGGGAGGACUGCUUCUAGCACUAAUAUUGUUGGAAGUUGACGUUACCUUCGGAAGAAGCACCGGCUAACUCCGUGCCAGCAGCCGCGGUAAUACGGAGGGUGCAAGCGUUAAUCGGAAUUACUGGGCGUAAAGCGCGCGUAGGCGGCUAGAUCAGUCGGGUGUGAAAGCCCCGGGCUUAACCUGGGAACUGCAUCCGAUACUGUCUAGCUUGAGUACAGGAGAGGAGAGUGGAAUUCCACAUGUAGCGGUGAUAUGCGUAGAUAUGUGGAGGAACACCAAUGGCGAAGGCAGCUCUCUGGCCUGAUACUGACGCUGAGGUGCGAAAGCGUGGGGAGCAAACCGGAUUAGAUACCCUGGUAGUC
rnacentral:rRNA from 1 species